UAGAGAUAGGGCUUUCCCUUCGGGGACAGAGUGACAGGUGGUGCAUGGUUGUCGUCAGCUCGUGUCGUGAGAUGUUGGGUUAAGUCCCGCAACGAGCGCAACCCUUGAUCUUAGUUGCCAGCAUUCAGUUGGGCACUCUAAGGUGACUGCCGGUGACAAACCGGAGGAAGGUGGGGAUGACGUCAAAUCAUCAUGCCCCUUAUGACCUGGGCUACACACGUGCUACAAUGGACAGAACAAAGGGCUGCAAGACCGCAAGGUUUAGCCAAUCCCAUAAAUCUGUUCUCAGUUCGGAUCGCAGUCUGCAACUCGACUGCGUGAAGCUGGAAUCGCUAGUAAUCGCGGAUCAGCAUGCCGCGGUGAAUACGUUCCCGGGUCUG
rnacentral:rRNA from 1 species